GCGACGGGGGCGGUUCGCCGCCCCCGACGUCGCGAGAAGUCCAUUGAACCUUAUCAUUUAGAGGAAGGAGAAGUCGUAACAAGGUUUCCGUAGGUGAACCUGCGGAAGGAUCAUUG
rfam:Hordeum vulgare subsp. vulgare, WGS project CAJW01000000 data, contig: morex_contig_1501519